UACGGAGGGCGCGAGCGUUGUUCGGAAUCACUGGGCGUAAAGCGCGUGUAGGCGGCCGAGCAAGUCGGAUGUGAAAUCCCGAGGCUCAACCUCGGAACUGCAUUCGAAACUGCUCGGCUCGAGUCCCGGAGAGGAUGGCGGAAUUCCCGGUGUAGGGGUGAAAUCCGUAGAUAUCGGGAGGAACACCAGUGGCGAAGGCGGCCAUCUGGACGGUGACUGACGCUGAGGCGCGAAAGCGUGGGGAGCAAACAGG
rnacentral:rRNA from 1 species